CGCCUCCCUCCGCCGCCACUCACGACUACCGUACGGGACGGACGAGCGAGGUAGGGGUAAGUUUUAGGGUAACGUAAGUACGGGGGACCGAACCCGUACGACUCCACGCCAUGCCGCGUGAGUGAAGAGCGUCGGUUGUAAGCUCUUCAGCGGGACGAAACGGACAUCCGCGAAUAACGGGUGUUAAGUGAUGGUACCGAAGAAGAAGCACCGGCUAACUACGUGCCAGCAGCCGCGGUAAUUC
rnacentral:rRNA from 1 species